CAUAUUCGCAAAAAAAAAAAGAACAUAGUUUUUUGCUCUUGGUGACCAGCGUCGGGUUGCAGUCCAAUAUGACGGACUAGUAUUUACAAAUUUGAACAUUACAAGCAUUUUUUUUCAAGGCACAUUCAUCAAUCUGAUUACCAACAAAAAUACACAAUUAUAAUACCUAACUGAUUGCAAAGAUAAUAUGCUGGAUAAGACAUUUUCAAUCACAAAGAAGAUAAAUCUAUAUAUAUAUAGAAAUAAAGAAUUUUGAAGCUCUUUUUUUCGACAAUCCCGCACAGAGUGAAUUGGAGGCAUCUUAAAGUUACCGGUAUACAAAUAUUUUUUAAAUUCAUUAUACAUGGCUUUUAUCGAAAUUUUUUUUUUCACAAUAUUUUUGUGGUGGGUUUGGCACAGAACACA